AACGAACGCUGGCGGCGUGCCUAACACAUGCAAGUCGAACGGAGGCAAGGGGCUUGCUCCUUGCUUUAGUGGCGCACGGGUGAGUAACGCGUGGAUAAUCUGCCUGAUGCUCUGGGAUAACAUCUCGAAAGGGGUGCUAAUACCGGAUAAGCCCACGGGGUCUUCGGAUCUUGAGGGAAAAGGGGGGGACCUUCGGGCCUCCUGACAUCAGAUGAGUCCGCGUCCCAUUAGCUAGUUGGUGGGGUAAAGGCCUACCAAGGCGACGAUGGGUGGCUGGUCUGAGAGGAUGAGAGGGCACACUGGAACUGAGACACGGUCCAGACUCCUACGGGAGGCAGCAGUGGGGAAUUUUGCGCAAUGGGGGCAACCCUGACGCAGCAACGCCGCGUGAGUGAUGAAGGCCUUUGGGUCGUAAAGCUCUGUCAGAGGGAAAGAAAUGUGGGCGGCUAAUAUCCGUUCCACUUGACGGUACCCUCAAAGGAAGCACCGGCUAACUCCGUGCCAGCCGCCGCGGUAACAC
rnacentral:rRNA from 1 species